AGAGUUUGAUCCUGGCUCAGGACGAACGCUGGCGGCGUGCCUAAUACAUGCAAGUCGAACGCGUCUUGGUUAUUGAUGUUGGAUGCUUGCAUUUAACUGAUUUAACAUUGAGACGAGUGGCGAACUGGUGAGUAACACGUGGGUAACCUGCCCUUGGAGUAGGGGAUAACACUUGGAAACAGGUGCUAAUACCGUAUAACAACCAAAACCACCUGGUUUUGGUUUAAAAGAUGGCUUCGGCUAUCACUUUAGGAUGGACCCGCGGCGUAUUAGCUUGUUGGUAAGGUAACGGCCUACCAAGGCAAUGAUACGUAGCCGACCUGAGAGGGUAAUCGGCCACAUUGGGACUGAGACACGGCCCAAACUCCUACGGGAGGCAGCAGUAGGGAAUCUUCCACAAUGGACGAAAGUCUGAUGGAGCAACGCCGCGUGAGUGAUGAAGGGUUUCGGCUCGUAAAACUCUGUUGUUGGAGAAGAACAGGUGUGAGAGUAACUGUUCACAUCUUGACGGUAUCCAACCAGAAAGCCACGGCUAACUACGUGCCAGCAGCCGCGGUAAUACGUAGGUGGCAAGCGUUGUCCGGAUUUAUUGGGCGUAAAGCGAGCGCAGGCGGUUUCUUAGGUCUGAUGUGAAAGCCUUCGGCUUAACCGGAGAAGUGCAUCGGAAACCAGGAGACUUGAGUGCAGAAGAGGACAGUGGAACUCCAUGUGUAGCGGUGAAAUGCGUAGAUAUAUGGAAGAACACCAGUGGCGAAGGCGGCUGUCUGGUCUGUAACUGACGCUGAGGCUCGAAAGCAUGGGUAGCGAACAGGAUUAGAUACCCUGGUAGUCCAUGCCGUAAACGAUGAGUGCUAAGUGUUGGAGGGUUUCCGCCCUUCAGUGCUGCAGCUAACGCAUUAAGCACUCCACCUGGGGAGUACGACCGCAAGGUUGAAACUCAAAGGAAUUGACGGGGGCCCGCACAAGCAGUGGAGUAUGUGGUUUAAUUCGACGCAACGCGAAGAACCUUACCAAGUCUUG
rnacentral:rRNA from 1 species